UACGGCUACAUCACAUUGAAACACCAGUUCUCAUACGAUCACUGAAGUUAAACAACGUUGAGCCUGGUCAGUACCUAGAUGGGUGACCGCUUGGGAUUACUAGACGCUGUAA